GGUUAAACAAAUAAUGCAAUAAAAAAAUUUUUUGGUUUUAAUUGAUAGGUUUCAUAGAAUUUAAAAAUGAUUUUAUUAGGUGAAAUUUUAAAAUUAUAAUAAAUUUAGGAAAAGUUUAUGAGGUUAAUAAAUUUAAGAUUUAGACUAGGAUUAGAUACCCUAUUAUUUUAAAUUAAAUUUUUUAAAGCCAGGCUAGUAAUAGAUAUGUUCUUGAAAAUUAAAGAUGUUGGCGGUAUUUUAGUCUAUUCAGAGGAAUCUGUCCUAUAAUUGAUGAUCCACGAGUUAAUAUACUUAUUUUAAAUAAGUUUAUAUAUCGUCGUAGUUUGAAUAUUUUCAAAAAAUUUUAAAUAUUCAAGAUUUUUUUAAUAAGAAAAUUCAGAUCAAGGUGUAGCUUAUAGAUAAGUAGAGAUGGAUUACAAUAAAUUUAUUUAAAUGGAUUAAUAAUUGAAAUUUUAUUAUGAAGGUGGAUUUGAAGGUAAUUUUUAUUGAAAUUAAUAAAAUGAUUUAAGCUCUAAAAUAUGUACAUA
rnacentral:rRNA from 1 species